UUAACAAAAACAUGUCCUUUUGAUUAUUAUUUAAGGUCUAAUCUGCCCAAUGAUAAAUUGAAUGGCCGCGAUAUUUUGAUCGUGCGAAGGUAGCAUAAUCAUUAGUUUUCUAAUUGGAAGCUGGUAUGAAAGAUUGGACGAGGGGCUUUCUGUCUCUGUUUUAUUGUUUGAAUUUUAUUUUUGAGUAAGAAAGCUUAAAUUUUUUUGUUAGACGAGAAGACCCUAUAGAGUUUUAUAUUUUAAAUUUUAAAUGAGUUGUAGAAUGAAAACUUUUUAAGUUUAUAAAAUAUUUAGUUGGGGUGACGGAAAAAUUUAAUAAACUUUUUCUUUUUUAAAUAUUAAUAAAUAGUUUUUUGACUUAGUUAUUUUAGUUAUAAGAUUUAAUUACCUUAGGGAUAACAGCGUAAUUUUUCUAAAGAGUUCAUAUCGAAAGAAAAGAUUGCGACCUCGAUGUUGGAUUAAAGUUAAAAUUUGGUGUAGAAGCUACUUGUUUUAGUCUGUUCGACUAUUAAAACUUUACAUGAUCUGAGUUUAAACCGGCGUGAGCCAGGUUGGUUUCUAUCUUCAAUAUUUUAAAAUAUUUUAGUACGAAAGGACCAAGUAUUUUUAAAAAUUAAUUUAUUUUGAUUAAUAUU
rnacentral:rRNA from 1 species